UACGUAGGGGGCGAGCGUUGUCCGGAAUCAUUGGGCGUAAAGCGCGUGUAGGCGGUCCGGUAAGUCCGCUGUGAAAGUCGGGGGCUCAACCCUCGGAUGCCGGUGGAUACUGUCGGGCUUGAGUACGGAAGAGGCGAGUGGAAUUCCUGGUGUAGCGGUGAAAUGCGCAGAUAUCAGGAGGAACACCAAUUGCGAAGGCAGCCCGCUGGGACGUUACUGACGCUGAGACGCGAAAGCGUGGGGAGCAAACAGG
rnacentral:rRNA from 1 species